rnacentral:tRNA from 1 species
GGCAAGAUGGCCGAGUUGGUCUAUGGCGGUAGACUCAAGCGUAUAGCUUACCUGUGUAUCACUCAGGAUUCUACUCGAAAGAGGCAGGGGUUCGAAUCCCCUUCUUGUCA